rnacentral:rRNA from 1 species
AGCGAACGCUGGCGGCAGGCUUAACACAUGCAAGUCGAGCGGGCGUAGCAAUACGUCAGCGGCAGACGGGUGAGUAACGCGUGGGAACAUACCUUUUGGUUCGGAACAACACAGGGAAACUUGUGCUAAUACCGGAUAAGCCCUUACGGGGAAAGAUUUAUCGCCGAAAGAUUGGCCCGCGUCUGAUUAGCUAGUUGGUGAGGUAACGGCUCACCAAGGCGACGAUCAGUAGCNGGUCUGAGAGGAUGAUCAGCCACAUUGGGACUGAGACACGGCCCAAACUCCUACGGGAGGCAGCAGUGGGGAAUAUUGGACAAUGGGCGAAAGCCUGAUCCAGCCAUGCCGCGUGAGUGAUGAAGGCCCUAGGGUUGUAAAGCUCUUUUGUGCGGGAAGAUAAUGACGGUACCGCAAGAAUAAGCCCCGGCUAACUUCGUGCCAGCCGCCGCCGCGGUAAC